ensembl:lncRNA
GUGUAUGUGUCACACCCAGGGGCUGGCUAUGCUUUGACUAAGCCACACCCCUUCUCAACUUCCACCUCGAGGAGGUCCCCAAAGCCAACCCAAUGGCCAAACAACACGAGAACAAAUGGGCUAUGGCCGGGAAGAGGUCAGGGAGCAAGGGGGCCACGGGGAUCCGGGGCGUGGGACUCGGGCCCCGGCCUGAGUCUUAGGUAUCCGUAGCGCCCUCCUUCUUCCUCCUCUUCGCUGAAUACAGCUCACGGUAAGUACUGGUUCACACAGUUCGUUCUCGAGGUGCUCACUCUCUUUCUCUUUCUCCACAGGCAACGGCUGGGACACACAGGCACAGUUAGUUCAGCUUGGUUUUGCUCUCACCUCUUCGCUGAUUACAGCUCACAGUAAGUACUGGUUCACACAGUUCGUUCCUUGGGUGCUCACUCGCUUUCUCUUUCUCCACAGGCAGCGGCGUAAGUACAGGUUUCCUCUGUUUCUCCUUGUGUUACUCACUCUCUCUUUCCUUUUCUCUCCACAGAUAUCAACUUGGGCACAAUAGCACAGUUAGUUUGCUUUGAAUGGCUCUCACCUCUGGGCUGAACACAGCGUACUGUAAGUACAGGUUCCCUCUGGUUCUCCUUGUGUUACUCACUCUCUCUUUCCUUUCCUCUCCACAGGUAUCAACUUGGACACAAAGCACAGUUACUCUGCUUUGGAUGGCUUUCACCUCUGGGCUGGACACAGCGUACCGUGCUAUCUCCGGAGAUCUGAAGCACGCCCACAACAUAUACUGUACUGAACUAGGCUAGGACCAGCAGUCUCCUUGUCCUCCCGCGACGAAGUGCGUGAAGGCGGGGGUUUAUCUGACAGGACACACGGCAAUACACAGCAGCCCACAGCAAUAUACAACACCACGUCAAAAUUAUAGGUUUUCACAGCACGAAGACUCACCCACCACACUCAGUGUACGAAAAGGACACCCGUCUUCCUUCACUUCGCUUGGUUCGGAUCUGGCGAUGGAAUAUGCGGCCUAGCUAGUGAUGUCGUCGUUGUGACUACUUCAAUAAGUAUUCCUUCGGCUCUCCCACCACGCUAUAUUAGGGGGUAGGGCCGCCCUCCUCCUCCUGGAGAGAUCUACACAACGCCAGGUCAAUAUACAGGGCACUUUCGACUGGUUCUUAGUACUCACAUCAAUGCCGCUUCCAAUCCCCUUUUUCACGUCGUCUCAGUUCGCCGUAUAAUCCGUUCACUUCUCAACCUUUAAGGUUCGCGAUGUCUUCACAAUCAUACAAUUCCAGCCUGAGGGGGAGAGAGAGUUAGACAGCCACCAGCAGCGCACCAAGACGGGCACAACACAGUGCUUCACACACACC